GCGCGCAAAUUACCCACUCUCAGAAUUUGGAGGAGGUAGUGACGAGAAAUAACGAGGCUAACUUCUUUCGAGGCUAGCCAUCGGAAUGGGUACAAUUUAAACCCUUUAACGAGUAUCUAUGAGAGGGCAAGUCUGGUGCCAGCAGCCGCGGUAAUUCCAGCUCUCAAAAUGCAUAGAAUUAUUGCUGCGGUUAAAAAGCUCGUAGUUGGAUCUGCAGCCGGAGCUCCGGUCUAUCUACGGAUAUGUACUGGAUGUCUUCGGCUUUCUGACAGUGUUCGGCUCUGUGCCUCUAACCAGGUGUGGAUGUCCGAUGCUGUAAGUUUACUUUGAAUAAAUCAGAGUGCUCUAAACAGGCGUUUUGCUUGAAUGAUUGUGCAUGGAAUAAUAGAAGAGGAUUUCGGUUCUAUUUUAUUGGUUUUAUAGACUGAGAUAAUGGUUAACAGAGACAAACGGGA
rnacentral:rRNA from 1 species